ensembl:lncRNA
UCACAAAAUGUGGGAAUGGAGAAGUUGGUGGCGCUUUGCUCUUGGGCAUGUUGAGAACUUGACUGGUCCCAGGGAACAUCAUCAUCAUCACCAUCAUCAUCAUCAUCACCUUGGAGCUGCUGUGCUGGGAGAGUGGGGCUGGGCCAGACACCUCUGCAGGGCCUGGCCCACCUCAGGCACUCUGGAAUGUUCUGAUGGAGCACAGCCAUGUUUGUGGCAGUCCCUGAGGGACUGGAGGCUCUGGGAGAUGGCACCAAGCAGGGCUGUAGAAGAAGGUCCAAAUAAUGAAGGAGGUUUGCAGAAGAGGAGGGCACAAGAUGAAGAAUGGCUCUGCCCUGGGACCUUGACCUCCCUGAGCUCUGAGCUGUUCACUGCAGGCUCUGGUUGGAGCUGGAACAUUUAUUUCCCUGGAAUGUGACCCUGGUCUGGUCUGGCACCCUGCCUGGCACCAGGAUGGUCCUGGCUCCUGGAGCUGAUGGAGCUGCACACCCUCUGCCCAGUGCCAGAGCAGAUGUGACAGGCUGACCCCAGACAUGGUGCCUGCUGCCCCUGGGAUGGUCCCACUGCCCAUCGUGGUGAGGACUCCUCUUCCCUCACUGUCCUCUCCUGGUCUCAGGGUCAAUCCCCUUGGUCUGAUUUCUCAGACCCUUCAGAGGAUGUUCCCCACAGACCAGCCUUGGGAUCCCAGGAUUCCAGGGCUUCACUUGGCUGCUCUCACACCUCCCUGUUCAGCAGCAGCCCAGCCCCUCUGGCUCCAGGGUCCCCAGGGUUUGGGAAUGGACCCUGACCCCUCCCAGGAUGGCUGCUGGUUACACAAACCAGGACACAUCCCUGUGUCCCUGGCAGUUCCCAGGCAUUGCUCCAGAGCUGGUGGGACACUGCUUGGGACACUGGGAUGCGUGUGGGUGCUAAUCUUUGGGGCCAUCAGGCCAGGCACUGAACUGAAAUCCAGCUCUAAUUGGCCUCUUCCAGUAAUUCUUCCUGACAAAACAAUUAAGUUUCUCAGGCAAGAGAUGUUCUUUGCAGAGCGGAGUGUUGGAGGAACAGGAGAGCAUCUGGACGGGCUGUGUGUCGGGUUUUGGGGCUGUGCUCUCUGUGGGGCGAGUGGCACAGUGCUGGGUGUGUCCUGGUCCUCAUGGACAUCUCACCCAGCGACUCCUGCACUGCUGGCUGCUCUUGCGAAGGGUCUGGGCUGGCCUGGGUGUUCUGUGACCAAUGAGACCCCAAGUGUUACCUGGCCUGGCCUCUCUGGAGCCAGGAGCGGGUUUGGAGAUGCUGGGGAGGGCAGGGUGGGGUUCUGGGGGAGAAUCUCAGGGGAGAGCACAGCCGCUGAGCGAGGUGUGAGCCCCACACGAGAGGCCUCAGAGCAGGCCCCAGCCCUGCUCUGCCAGCGAUGCAUCCGCACGGGGAGGGGACAAACAGCUCUGGGGAGGGGGUGGCGGCUCCCUCCGGGGUGUGUGUGUGGGUGUGUGGGUGAGUGUGUGUGUGGGUGUGUGUGGGUGUGUGUGUGAGAGAAUGUGUGUGUGUGGGUGUGUGUGAGAGAGUGUGUGUGUGUGGGUGUGUGGGUGUGUGUGAGAGAGUGUGUGUGUGUGGGUGUGUGUGUGUAUGGGUGUGUGUGUGUGGGUGUGUGUGUGUGUGU